CUGACCUGUGGAGUGCUUCCAGCCCAGCAUUACUGGAGGCCACGUCUGUUGGUUAAAAAGGUCACGGUGCUGUUUGUGUUAAUGCACUGAUAAAGAGGCAGGGAAACAGAGCUGGAAAAUUCUCCAGGCGAGCUCUUGUUCUGAUAAAAGGCUCUUUUCAGUAGAAAAUGGAGAAAACAAACUAUUCCACAUUCUUUUGAGCAGGGGUAGGAAAACCGACAGAGCUGUCUGCAUCAGUUGGUGUAAACCCGCAGCCACUGAAAGGAAGCGUUCUGGCCCGUGGAAUGACAGCAGAGGGAGACCAAUGACUCCAACACCACUGGCGCCUGGGGAAACUGAGGAGAGGAAGCACUGAAGCCUUUAUUACCUUCUUGCUAAGACACACGAGAGCACGUAUCUCAGGCCCUGCAGAGCGGUGUGUGUAGUCCUGUGGGGAAUGAGCUGCCUGGGACAGCUACAGCCCUGGGGAGACACAGACACCAACGUGGCAGCGAGAAACAAAGACAGAUGAUCCCCUUCCUGCUCUCAUCGGCGACUUCCCCGUUCAGCCAGGCAGGCAGAGCUGUGC